rnacentral:rRNA from 1 species
UGGGGAAUUUUGGACAAUGGGGGAAACCCCUGAUCCAGCCAUCCCGCGUGUGCGAUGAAGGCCUUCGGGUUGUAAAGCACUUUUGGCAGGAAAGAAACGUCGCGGGUUAAUACCCCGCNAAACUGACGGUACCUGCAGAAUAAGCACCGGCUAACUACGUGCUAGCAGCCGCGGUAAUACGUAGGGUGCAAGCGUUAAUCGGAAUUACUGGGCGUAAAGCGUGCGCAGGCGGUUCGGAAAGAAAGAUGUGAAAUCCCCAGAGCUUAACUUUGGAACUGCAUUUUUAACUACCGGGCUAGAGUGUGUCAGAGGGAGGUGGAAUUCCGCGUGUAGCAGUGAAAUGCGUAGAUAUGCGGAGGAACACCGAUGGCGAAGGCAGCCUCCUGGGAUAACACUGACGCUCAUGCACGAAAGCGUGGGGAGCAAACAGGAUUAGAUACCCUGGUAGUCCACGCCCUAAACGAUGUCAACUAGCUGUU